rnacentral:rRNA from 1 species
GUCGGUAAAACUCGUGCCAGCCACCGCGGUUAUACGAGAGACCCAAGUUGAUAGACACCGGCGUAAAGAGUGGUUAAGAUUUAUCCAAAACUAAAGCCGAACGCCCUCAGAGCUGUUAUACGCACCCGAGGGUUAGAAGCCCAACCACGAAGGUGGCUUUAAACAAUCUGAACCCACGAAAGCUAUGACACAAACUGGGAUUAGAUACCCCACUAUG